rnacentral:rRNA from 1 species
AUACGUAGGUGGCAAGCGUUGUCCGGAAUUAUUGGGCGUAAAGCGCGCGCGGGCGGUUUCUUAAGUCUGAUGUGAAAGCCCCCGGCUCAACCGGGGAGGGUCAUUGGAAACUGGGAGACUUGAGUGCAGGAGAGGGAAGUGGAAUUCCAUGUGUAGCGGUGAAAUGCGUAGAGAUAUGGAGGAACACCAGUGGCGAAGGCGGCUUCCUGGCCUGUAACUGACGCUGAGGCGCGAAAGCGUGGGGAGCAAACAGGAUUAGAUACCCUGGUAGUCCACGCCGUAAACGAUGAGUGCUAGGUGUUAGGGGGUUUCCGCCCCUUAGUGCUGCAGCUAACGCAUUAAGCACUCCGCCUGGGGAGUACGGUCGCAAGACUGAA